AUUGAACGCUGGCGGCAGGCCUAACACAUGCAAGUCGAGCGGAUGAAGGGAGCUUGCUCCUGGAUUCAGCGGCGGACGGGUGAGUAAUGCCUAGGAAUCUGCCUGGUAGUGGGGGAUAACGUCCGGAAACGGGCGCUAAUACCGCAUACGUCCUGAGGGAGAAAGUGGGGGAUCUUCGGACCUCACGCUAUCAGAUGAGCCUAGGUCGGAUUAGCUAGUUGGUGGGGUAAAGGCCUACCAAAGCGACGAUCCGUAACUGGUCUGAGAGGAUGAUCAGUCACACUGGAACUGAGACAUGGUCCAGACUCCUACGGGAGGCAGCAGUGGGGAAUAUUGGACAAUGGGCGAAAGCCUGAUCCAGCCAUGCCGCGUGUGUGAAGAAGGUCUUCGGAUUGUAAAGCACUUUAAGUUGGGAGGAAGGGCAGUAAGUUAAUACCUUGCUGUUUUGACGUUACCAACAGAAUAAGCACCGGCUAACUUCGUG
rnacentral:rRNA from 1 species